AGCGAAGCACAGCUCGAAAGYAGCAGAGAUGGUACAAAAGGAGUGAAAAUUUAAGCGUUACUAAGAACUGGAAUACUAAUUCAACWAACUACUGGGAUUUGACUUUGAAUCAGAAAGAUGUCAAAAAUGGUAGCCAGUAUAAUAUAUGUUAUACCRCGAUUUCUGAUGGCCCAAGUUUGUAUGUGAAGGAACAGCUUAAAAAUGCUGAAUGUGUUAAAAGACGACUUCACCUUUUCUGUAUCAAUUGCAUGUCUUUAGAGGGCUCCGCAGAACAAACCCUGGAUGCAGGAGCUGGUGGUGGGCAGUUCCUGGGCAUUGCUGAGAGCAUCAUGCUUCAUUGCUGCUGUUGCAGCAGAAACAAGUUUCAUUCGAACUGGAGAACACUCUGGGGGAAGAAAUGAGAGAGAAGUAAUACAGAAAUGGGUCAUGGGAAUAACUUUAUGUAAUAAAGCUGGGCUUUUUACAGUGAUGUCAUCUUUGAAGUGGGAAGAAAUGUUGCUUUAAGAAUAAAAUGGGGAAUUAACUUACACUAUGYCUUGAAAAAUAGGACUGGAAAGAUAACAAGAAUGAAGAGCUUGAUAUUCAGUUCAAAGUGUUUGAUGAAAACAAAGAGGACGACUUAAUUGAGCUGUCACAUCAUCUCGGUGAUACCAGAGCCGAAAUGGAAUAUCC